UACGUAGGGGGCAAGCGUUGUCCGGAAUCAUUGGGCGUAAAGCGCGUGUAGGCUGCUUCGCAAGUCGGGUGUGAAAGCCCUGGGCUCAACCUAGGAAGUGCACUCGAAACUGCGAAGCUUGAGUCCUGGAGAGGAAGGCGGAAUUCUCGGUGUAGAGGUGAAAUUCGUAGAUAUCGAGAGGAACACCGGUGGCGAAGGCGGCCUUCUGGACAGUGACUGACGCUGAGACGCGAAAGCGUGGGGAGCAAACAGG
rnacentral:rRNA from 1 species